rnacentral:rRNA from 1 species
AACGAACGUUGGCGGCAUGGAUUAGGCAUGCAAGUCGCACGAAUCCCAUCUGGGUAACUGGGUGGGAAAGUGGCGAAAGGGGCAGUAAGGCGUGGGUAACUUGCCCCGGAGUUCGGAAUAGCUUCCUAACGGAUGGGUAAUACCGAAUGCCCUAUCGAGGGGCAUCCUCUUGAUACGAAAGUUACGGCGCUCCGGGAGGGGCCCACGUAGUAUUAGCUAGUUGGUGAGGUAACGGCUCACCAAGGCCAAGAUGCUUAGCAGGUGUGAGAGCACGACCUGCGCCACUGGCACUGGGACACUGGCCAGACUCCUACGGAGGCUGCAGUCGAGGAUCUUUGGCAAUGGGCGCAAGCCUUGACCGAGCGAUGCCGCGUGUGCGAUGAA